AAAAAUUACAUGUAACGUUAGCUCCUACAGCCAUCUACUCCACACUUAAACGCUCGGUAGCAGCUUCCUAGUUUUUUUACACAACAAAUUCACAACUCAUAAAGCAUACUUACAGGUCGCCAGAUUUGCCCAACAGAGUGGGAACUGCCUCAUCUUUCAGCAGUAACCACUGUGAAAAUCCAGCUGUAAACUGUUGUCAGUUUGUGAAGCAGUCCUCAGGAAAAUAGAGGGAACACAAUAAGGUGUCAUGGUUGUAUUGUGGAGGAAUUGUAUCUCUAAUAAAUUCCAACCACUUCUUCUUUGUUCCUUCUUCCUUGUGCAGUCCAAACAAGGGCAAUUUUUGGCAGCUCCUCAACAGUUCAAACUCUCUGCAGCCUCUGCUCUGGCUCUGCUUGAAGCAGGUUUGUUUGUGGGUGUGGCUCAGUAGUCUGCAGGCAGGUGCUGUGUGCAUAGCUAAUGUGUUACAUUGUGAGCCAAUAAAUUCACAGAAGUAAAGGGAAGAAGUAGAGUGAGCCGUUUCAGGCAGCUGAGGAGCUCUGUGUCUGUGGGGAGAGAGAGCUCCCUUUAGCCUGGACUUUUUUUUUUUUUUUUUUUUUUUUUCACUCAGCAGACAUUAUAGAGGUAGAAAAAUAUUAUAUAACACACUAAAGAAGGGGGAACCCCAAAAAGCAUAAUAGGUCCUCUUAAAUUGUAAAAGCAGCUUUUAUUCCUUCGCCCGUACUAGGAUGUGGACUUGACUGAGUGGAGACUGCUCCAUGCUGUAAGCUAUACACUACAUUUGGACUUGUGGGCUGGUGGUGGAUUUCCACAGGUGCAGACUCCUCCCCCCAACACUGGUGAACAUCCAGGGAAAGGACAUUGAGAUGGUGACAUCUUGUAAGUACCUGGGUGUUCGUCUUAACAAUAAACUGGACUAAUCACAUAACAGCACUGUGCAGGAAAGGCCAAAGCAGACUCUACCUGCUGAGGCGGCUCAGGUCUUUUGGAGUGCAGGGGGUGCUCCUGAAGACCUUCCUUGACAGUGUGGUGGCAUCAGCCAUCUUCUACGGAGUGGUCUGCUGGGGCAGCAGCGUCUCGGUUGCAGGUAGGAAGAGACUGGACAAGCUGAUCAAGAAGGCCAGCUCUGUCCUGGGAUGCUCUCUGGACUCUGUGCAGGUGGUGGGAGAAAGGAGGAUGACAGCCAAGCUGUCAUCUCUGAGGACUAAAGACUUCCAUCCUCUGCAGGAGGAGAUAAAAGCUCUGGAGAGCUACUUCAGUGAUAGACUGAUUUCACCCAAAGUGCGUGAAGGAACGCUAUCGCAGGUCCUUCCUGUCUGCUGCUGUCAGGCUACAUAACCAGCACUGCUCACAAAAAAACUGCACCAUGGACACUUUAGGGACACCAUAAUGUCAGCUGGGGGCCAGCAGGGGGAACUACUAAGCAGGGCACAUAACUCCUUGAGAUCAGGUGGAGAGAUCCACUUCCUGUCAGGAGAAAUCCAGGAAGAGGAAGUAUUUAAGUGUGGGAGUGGCCUAUUGGAAUCCAUUUUGUUUGAGGCCAUGCGGCAAGGUGAGUGUGCUUGCUGAUCCUGUAAGUCCAGUUAGCUCCUUUAACUUUAGCUUAUAUUGUAGUUAUGCUAUGUAGUGUGUGAAAUAGAGUGUGGUGAAUGUGACAGGAAAGCUAGUAUCAGCAUUGCUUCUGCCUGGAGCUCGCAUGUAUGGAGCCUGGGUUUGGUUGAAGAUGGCAGUGCUGUUUGGGCUGAGAAAGCCAUGCGUAAGUAAGGAGGAAAUCCAGGAAGAGGAAGGUUAUUUAAGUGUGGGAGUGGCCUAUCUGAAUCCAUUUUGCUUGAGACCAUGCUGCAAAGUGAGUGUGUUUGCUGAUCCUGUGAGUUCAUUUAUCUCCUUUAACUUUAGCUUACAUUGUAGUUAUGCUAUGUAGCGUGUGAAAUAGAGUAUGGUGAAUGUGCUAGUAAAGGUAGUAUCAGCAUUGCUUCUGCCUGGAGCUCGCAUAAACGGAGCCUGGGUUUGGUUGAAGGUGGCAGUGCUGUUUGGGCUGAGAUCACUGUCUAGCCUCCUGGAGGUGUCAUUGUUGUGAGGGCUCGUCUUGGGGAGGUAGACUGUACAGCCUAACCCGGCGGGGGAGUGUGAUAGCCCAACAAGGCUUCCUUCCCUGGGUCUACCUCCUCUGUGGUAGUAUAGGUAAGGUAAAGGAGGUUGUUCGGUUAGUGUGGGGAGCAGUGAGACCUGGCAUUAGGGGAGUGUCUCUGGGACGCCAGAGAUCACUGUCUAGCCUCCUGGAGGUGUCGUGGGACCAACUAGACGAAACACCGGUGAAAGGAGGUUCCCACCCGAUGACCCCAAAGACAUGUUUGUUAUCACUGCUCACUGGUCUGUAUAGUUAAGCCUUGCCAUAAUAGCUUGUCGUAGGGCUUAGGAGGUUAUUCACUGAGUGCUGAUCCCUUUUAUUUAUUUAUUUAUUUAUUUAUUUAUUUUUAGAGCACAAACUUCUUGUGUUUAUUUGAAUUCAGAACUAGCCCAGCUAGUGACUGCUGUGAACAGGGCAGCUGACAACAAGGGAAAGACCAUGUGACCGCUUGGAAAGACAGCUGACAGGAGGGAAAAGACCCCAAUAGUGCUGGCAUGGGUUAGCAACCCAUGGUAGCAGUGGUGAGGCCUAGCAGCCUUACUACAACCAAAAAUUAGCUACAACAUAGGAAAAAUACCCCAAGAGUCAGCGAGAGCAGGGGUGGAAGAUGGCUCACAGGUGGAUUACACGGUAACAGACAUUGGAACAGACACGACUAUGACUUGGAUCUGUGACUCAGUGAAGGAUAGGGGCACGGACCUAUCCACCAGUGCUAGAAUUAGCAGCACUCAGGGCAAGGUGAGCGCAUCUGUAGAGGAUAAAAGUAGCACAGUUGAGAACAAGAUGCUUCAGGUUUGUCCUUGCGGCUGGCAGAAAGUAACAUCAGUGAAAGGCCUCAGAACUCAUCAGGGAAAGAAAAAGUGUGUGGCAAAGAAAGGGCAGAGUAGCCGCAUUGAUCAGUACUUCCUAAGAAGUCAGUUGAGUCAGUCGGAUGAAGUCCAGCUUGUCGUAGGGCUUAGGAGUUUAUUCACUGAGUGCUGAUCCCCUUUUUUUUUAUUUAUUUAUUUAUUUUAUUUUUAUUUUUUUUAGAGCACAAACUUCUUGUGUUUAUUUGAAUUCACUUUAAUCCACUGCUCACUUUUUAUCCACUGCUCAUUAUUAUUAUUAUUAUUAUUAUUAUUUAUUGCUGUCUCUUGUAUUUUUUUGUACCUUUUUUUUUUUUUUUUGCAUGCCUAGUUUUUUAAGUUUUUAAAUUUUGAAAUCUUCAAUCUGACUCUUUCCCCGUGACUGCUGUAAGACUGGAAUUUCUCAAUUGUGGGAUCAAUGAAGGUGUAUCUUAUCUUAUCUCUUAUCUUAUAUUAUUAUAUGUACAGUACUAUUUUAUACUUGUUACUUAACUUACAGUAUGUUACAUUGGAAAUUCAACUACCUCUUUUCAUUGUGCAAUAUAUGAACACAUUGAUGGCUUUGCUCGAAUUUGUAAUUAAUUACUAGCUUUAAUCAGCAACAUAGACGAUAGCACAAAUGUUGCCGUCCUUGAGCAUUUGACACUGAAAAACACAAAUUCAACCAAGUGUUCUAUUAGAUUCAUUAUGAGGCAUACAGUAAAUCUGAAAUAAACCAGACAAGAGCAUUCUGUAGUUACUGAAAAAAUGCACUCAGCACUGUUUAAUCACAGUGGUCCUCAUUUAUCAAACAGCGUAGAAACAGGUGCAGAUCCAGAAGGAGAAGUCACCUUAUGCCAGGUUGCACGUGUGAUUCAUGAAACGUUCAUAUCGCGUCAAUCACGGCGUACAAAUAAUCGGAUGUUGAUAAAUGUGGUGGCUGAAAACAAUCGUAAUUUGAAUACCACGCCCCUAUAUAUUCACGCUUUAGAGGGCUUGCCGCUAGAGUUGACAACACAGAGAUGCAGAAAUCGAGCAAGAAGAGAAACUUCUCAGACGACAAAAUCGAGACCAUAACGUCAGAAGUCCAGAGAAACAAAUUAGCUCUGUCUGGAAGCCUAAAAAGUGGCUUCAAAGGAAGUCAGAAGGCAGCAGUGUGGAAAGAAAUCACUGCUGCAGUCAACAGCGUUGGGGUUGACAAGGGAACUCCAGCUGAGGUUUGAAUAUUUAAUUUGUACAGCCGUGAUAUUGCACAAGUCAUAUAAAAUAUAUAAAAGCUUAUUGCAAUUUUACCUUUACAAUUAGGUCAAGAAAAACUGGUCAGAUCUGAAAAUCGCCACCAAAAGACGUGUUGCUGCCCUUAAGCGCAGCAGCACCCAGACUGGAGGAGGCCAGCCGGACCCCAGCCUGGCACUGACCCAGAUUGAGGAGCGAGUGGCAGCGCUUAUUUGGUCUCCUUCGAAUUCAGGCAUAAGUGGCGGAGGAGACACUGAUGCGCCACCUGUGGCUAAGCUAGAUAAUGACGAAGAGCCAGGUACCAGUGUUGGGCCCUCAGCUGCACAAAGCGCCUGUGUCCUCCGCCCCCCACGCUGGUCCACCACCAUGACCCUGGAUCCUGACUACAGAAGUCCUGGAAAAACAGGCAAAAAUCUGUUGGUCGAUGGCAGAAAUAAAUCAGUGUCAGGUAGCAAUAAAUGAGACAUUAAAAGAGAUGAAUGAAAACCUCAAAAGAGUAUCAAAUAAAUAAAAUAAAUCACU